CGGACGGGUGAGUAAUGUCUGGGAAACUGCCCGAUGGAGGGGGAUAACUACUGGAAACGGUAGCUAAUACCGCAUAACGUCGCAAGACCAAAGAGGAGGACCUUAGGGCCUCUUGCCAUCGGAUGUGCCCAGAUGGGAUUAGCUAGUAGGUGGGGUAAUGGCUCACCUAGGCGACGAUCCCUAGCUGGUCUGAGAGGAUGACCAGCCACACUGGAACUGAGACACGGUCCAG
rnacentral:rRNA from 1 species